rnacentral:tRNA from 1 species
GGAUUGUGGCUCAGUGGUGGAGCGCUCGCCUAGCAUGGGCGGGGCCAGGGUUCGAUCCUCAACACCA